rnacentral:rRNA from 1 species
AUUGAACGCUGGCGGCAGGCCUAACACAUGCAAGUCGAACGAGUGGCGGACGGGUGAGUAAUGUCUGGGAAACUGCCUGACGUAGGGGGAUAACUACUGGAAACGGUAGCUAAUACCGCAUACCAUCAGAUGUGCCCAGAUGGGAUUAGCCUGUUGGUGGGGUAACGGUUCACCAAGGCGCCGAUCCCUAGCUGGGCUGAGAGGAUGACCAGCCACAAUGGAACUGAGCCACGGUCCAGACUCCUACUGGAGGCAGCAGUGGGGAAUAUUGCGCAAUGGGCGAAAGCCUGAUGCAGCACGGCCGCUUGUAUGAAGAAGGCCUUCGGGUUGUAAAGUACUUUCGGCGGGGAAGCGUCACCCGAACAAGCAGCCACGGCUAACUCCGUGCCAGCGGCCGCGGUAAUAC